UGACAGUUGGAUUGGGACAUGCAAACUGUUUGAAGGUUAUUGAAGGUACCUAGCACACGAUAGUUUUUGGCUCCCAGGGAGAGGUUGGAUGAGGGUCAGGACAUAUCACAUAAGGCCUGUCAAUCAAAAAUUUGCAAGAUUUUUGUUUAAUAUCUAGAGAAAUUGGCCCUUAUGAGAUAAAGAAUAAUUGGUCACUUGAUUCCCCCUUAGAGACACUUCAUUAAUUCCCUCAAUUUAUUUGUUUCCCUUUUGUUUUUUAGCUAAACCAGCGCAACUAUUUUUCUAAUAUUCUUUAUAUUCAAAGUAUGUAAAUUGAGAAAUUAAGGGAGAACCUAUAAGAAACAUUUUGUAAGGGCAGUCUCCUGCUCUUGCUCAGUAGAAUUUAAUAUAGUUUUAUUGUCAACUCUAACUUUACUCUUUUUCUAUGUGAAAUAUCACAUAUUUAUUCUCCACUUUGUGCUGUUCACCAGAAAGGAUCUCUCUCUUGCAUCUCUCCUAGCUACAUUCCACUUUUGCACUUACCUGAAUCUUUUGCAUAUGGUAGUUGGAAGCUAAGGGAAGAGGGGUCAUUCUCUCAAGUUCUGGUUAAGCUGCGGUCUUAGGGAGGCGCUGUAAACACGAGUCCCCGAUGUGAGGCUUUCACAAACAUACAUGCCCCUCCUCCAAAGGUAAUGCUGGGCUUCGAACCGAUUCUGCCCUUCUCAAGGCACAGGUUUUUUUUUUCCUCUUCCUUCCUCUCUUGCAACCACAGUGGAUUCCCAUCUGUGCCCUCAAGCAACAGGUUUUGAUGAUCUUGCACUUUAAGGCUUUAUUCCACAUGGGAGUAAGAGAAGAUGACACUGAGUGGAUAUUAGGCAGUAGAUGCUGUUUCACUUCCCAGACAGAACCAUGAGAGAAGCUUUCCGAGGGUUUUGUCCAGUCUUCCCUGUGAGCACCUGGUGGGGUUCUUGAGGAAGAGGUUGCAAAAGGAUACAAAAUUACAUUUGCCUGUAUCCCCACGAGGCUUCCAGCUCUCAUGUUCACCCAUACUCAGACUUUAGCAAUUAUUUAAAAUUUUCUGCUUGCUGCUUCUUACCAGCUUAUAUUGCCACUACGUAUCUUAUGUCUCAGCCAUCUUCAGUACAUCAUAUGGUCACACUCUGCUUGGAGAAACAGAAACAAGAUGAACAAGGAGAUGAACAGCAAAAACAGUUCUUCCAUGAACCUGACAUCAUAACCUACAAGUUUCACAAUGAAACAAGAACAGCUUAAAACUGAUGGUGACUGAGUGGUGCUAAUGCCAAAUUUUUGGUCAAUAUCUCAUAUUCAAGAGGAUAAUCAGAGGAGAGAAUUGUUAAAUUAACUAAACAAGGAAACCAUUAAACUGAGUGACUGCAAUGCCUUAGUGGUCCAUGUAAGCAAACCAAAAUCUAAGCCUGUAAAUGCAUCAGUGUUACAAAAUCAAAACCUAAGGACAACUAAUCACAAAAAACCAACUAAGCUUUACACUACAGCCAAUAAAAUAAUUUCUUUGUUUGCACUCCUUCUCUAUAUAAGUUAUUCCCCUAGCUUAUGUUGGUAGAAUGCUUCUAACCACUUUUGAUUUUCUGCUG
rnacentral:lncRNA from 1 species